CCUACGGGUGGCUGCAGUGGGGAAUAUUGCACAAUGGGCGCAAGCCUGAUGCAGCCAUGCCGCGUGUGUGAAGAAGGCCUUCGGGUUGUAAAGCACUUUCAGCGGGGAGGAAGGCGGUGAGGUUAAUAACCUCAUCGAUUGACGUUACCCGCAGAAGAAGCACCGGCUAACUCCGUGCCAGCAGCCGCGGUAAUACGGAGGGUGCAAGCGUUAAUCGGAAUUACUGGGCGUAAAGCGCACGCAGGCGGUCUGUCAAGUCGGAUGUGAAAUCCCCGGGCUCAACCUGGGAACUGCAUUCGAAACUGGCAGGCUAGAGUCUUGUAGAGGGGGGUAGAAUUCCAGGUGUAGCGGUGAAAUGCGUAGAGAUCUGGAGGAAUACCGGUGGCGAAGGCGGCCCCCUGGACAAAGACUGACGCUCAGGUGCGAAAGCGUGGGGAGCAAACAGGAUUAGAUACUCUAGUAGUC
rnacentral:rRNA from 1 species